GCUGGCACAAUGAUGAUUUCUUCUUGCCGUUUACCCAUCUGAAUUCAUAUUGAUGUGUAUUUAUUAAUUCUGAGGUGCCAGU